AGCGAACGUUAGCGGCGGGCCUAACACAUGCAAGUCGAACGCGAAAGGUCUUCGGACUGAGUAGAGUGGCGCACGGGUGAGUAACACGUAGGUAAUCUACCCUUUGGCGGGGGAUAACGUUCCGAAAGGAGCGCUAAUACCGCAUAAGACCACGGAGUCUCCGGACGCUGUGGGAAAAGGUGGCCUCUUCUUGAAAGCUACCACCGAAGGAUGAGCCUGCGUCCCAUCAGCUAGUUGGUAAGGUAAUGGCUUACCAAGGCGAAGACGGGUAGCUGGUUUGAGAGAAUGAUCAGCCACACUGGCACUGGAACACGGGCCAGACUCCUACGGGAGGCAGCAGUGAGGAAUAUUGGGCAAUGGGCGAAAGCCUGACCCAGCCACGCCGCGUGAGUGAUGAAGGCCCUCGGGUCGUAAAGCUCUGUGGAGAGGGACGAAAACCCUGGUUUCAAAUAGGCUCCAGGCUUGACGGUACCUCUUUAGCAAGCACCGGCUAACUCUGUGCCAGCAGCCGCG
rnacentral:rRNA from 1 species